rnacentral:rRNA from 1 species
UUAUUAAGCCGAGGAAAAGAAACUAACAAGGAUUCCCUCAGUAAGGGCGACUGAAGCGGGAAUAGCCCAUGCUGCCAAUCGCUUCGGCGAGUUGUGUCAGGCGUGCCUGGCAGACCUCCGGGGAGAAGUCCCUUGGAACAGGGUAUCAGAGAGGGUGACAGUCCCGUCUGUGCCUCGGAGGUUCUGUGUGAAGGCCGUAUUACUAGAGUCGAGUUGCUUGGGAUUGCAGCUCAAAGUUGGUGGUAAAUUCCAUCUAAGGCUAAACACGGGUGGG